ACGGCCUGGAUGUUGGGCAGGACGCCGCCCUGCGCGAUAGUCACGCCGCCCAGCAGCUUGUUGAGCUCCUCGUCGUUGCGGAUAGCCAGCUGCAGGUGGCGCGGGAUAAUGCGCGUCUUCUUGUUGUCCCGAGCCGCGUUG
rnacentral:miRNA from 14 species